UCCUUGUUUAUACUACACGGCGUCUUUAAAAAGCUGGUACGGCCCAGAUUGCCCAACAGACCAAUGGCGGACCACCCAUGCAAACGAGCUAACGUCUGCCGGGCAAGGAGAUUGGCCCUGCUCGCGCUGACGUCACAGAGACAUUUAACCGCCACGCCCCCAGCGUGGCGGUGGAGGAAGAGAGGCGGGGAACAGAAUCAGAAACCCCCUUUCAGCUUGGGGAACAGACAUGUUUAUGGCAAUGUUUAGACCAGCAAUGAUCGUAUCACUGUGCAACACAAUGACUGAAGAUGGAACUGAGCCGGCUGUCGGCAGAUCUCUAAGCAACACAAGAGCAAGGUCAUGAUGCAGUGCUAUCGAUGCUCCCUGGAACGCCAAACUCUAUCCAUCACAGUUAAAAAUUACAUGUGCAUGAGAAUAAGUGUGGCUAUACAA